CCUACGGGAGGCAGCAGUGAGGAAUAUUGGUCAAUGGACGAGAGUCUGAACCAGCCAAGUAGCGUGAAGGAUGACUGCCCUAUGGGUUGUAAACUUCUUUUAUAUGGGAAUAAAAUGUUCCACGUGUGGGAUUUUGUAUGUACCAUAUGAAUAAGGAUCGGCUAACUCCGUGCCAGCAGCCGCGGUAAUACGGAGGAUCCGAGCGUUAUCCGGAUUUAUUGGGUUUAAAGGGAGCGUAGGUGGAUUGUUAAGUCAGUUGUGAAAGUUUGCGGCUCAACCGUAAAAUUGCAGUUGAAACUGGCAGUCUUGAGGACAGUAGAGGUGGGCGGAAUUCGUGGUGUAGCGGUGAAAUGCUUAGAUAUCACGAAAAACUCCGAUUGCGAAGGCAGUUCACUGGACUGCAACUGACACUGAGGCUCGAAAGUGUGGGUAUCAAACAGGAUUAGAUACCCGGGUAGUC
rnacentral:rRNA from 1 species